AGGGAAUUUUCGGCAAUGGGGGAAACCCUGACCGAGCAACGCCGCGUGAAGGAAGAAGUAAUUCGUUAUGUAAACUUCUGUCAUAGAGGAAGAACGGUGGAUAUAGGGAAUGAUAUCCAAGUGACGGUACUCUAUAAGAAAGCCACGGCUAACUACGUGCCAGCAGCCGCGGUAAUACGUAGGUGGCGAGCGUUAUCCGGAAUUAUUGGGCGUAAAGAGGGAGCAGGCGGCACUAAGGGUCUGUGGUGAAAGAUCGAAGCUUAACUUCGGUAAGCCAUGGAAACCGUAGAGCUAGAGUGUGUGAGAGGAUCGUGGAAUUCCAUGUGUAGCGGUGAAAUGCGUAGAUAUAUGGAGGAACACCAGUGGCGAAGGCGACGAUCUGGCGCAUAACUGACGCUCAGUCCCGAAAGCGUGGGGAGCAAAUAGGAUUAGAUACCCUAGUAGUCCACGCCGUAAACGAUGAGUACUAAGUGUUGGGUGUCAAAGCUCAGUGCUGCAGUUAACGCAAUAAGUACUCCGCCUGAGUAGUACGUUCGCAAGAAUGAAACUCAAAGGAAUUGACGGGGGCCCGCACAAGCAGCGGAGCAUGUGGUUUAAUUCGAAGCAACGCGAAGAACCUUACCAAGGCUUGACAUCCUCUGACGACUGUAGAGAUACAGUUUCCCUUCGGGGCAGAGAGACAGGUGGUGCAUGGUUGUCGUCAGCUCGUGUCGUGAGAUGUUGGGUUAAGUCCCGCAACGAGCGCAACCCUUAUUGCUAGUUGCCAGCGCGUAAAGGCGGGAACUCUAGUGAGACUGCCGGGGACAACUCGGAGGAAGGUGGGGACGACGUCAAAUCAUCAUGCCCCUUAUGUCUUGGGCUACACACGUGCUACAAUGGCCGGUACAAAGGGCAGCGAACCCGUAAGGGGAAGCGAAUCUCAAAAAGCCGGUCCCAGUUCGGAUUGUGGGCUGCAACCCGCCCACAUGAAGUCGGAGUUGCUAGUAAUCGCGAAUCAGCAUGUCGCGGUGAAUGCGUUCCC
rnacentral:rRNA from 1 species